rnacentral:rRNA from 1 species
GACGAACCGUGCGAACGUUGUUCGGAAUCACUGGGCUUAAAGGGCGCGUAGGCGGGUCAGCAAGUCCGGGGUGAAAUCUUUCGGCUCAACCGGAAAAGUGCCUUGGAUACUGCUGGUCUCGAGGGAGGUAGGGGUUUGUGGAACUUCUGGUGGAGCGGUGAAUGCGUUGAUAUCAGAAGGAACGCCGGUGGCGAAAGCGACGAACUGG